UGGCUGGUUAAGUGACUUGGGCCUACCAUAUCUUACGUGGAGUCUACUCUCUGCACCUCUAUAUAUUCUUACUCGAGAGAAUCAUGUAUAUCCCUGCUCUAUAUGCUUGGACUUCUGGUGAGAUCUUGGCUACUUAACGAGGGCUAUGGGCUAUUAUCUUCGCAGUACAGUGUCAUGACAUCCGAUGGCAUGACAUUCAGUUCUAAAACUAUCAUAAGAACUAUAAUGCAUCUUACACAUCUACAGCAUACUCAGCUUUCAUUGGUCGGUUGC
rnacentral:lncRNA from 1 species